AGUGAAUGCUGGCGGUAGGCCUAACACAUGCAAGUCGAACGGCAGCACAGUAAGAGCUUGCUCUUACGGGUGGCGAGUGGCGGACGGGUGAGGAAUACAUCGGAAUCUACUUUUUCGUGGGGGAUAACGUAGGGAAACUUACGCUCAUACCGCAUACGCCCUACGGGGGAAAGCAGGGGAUCUUCGGACCUUGCGCGAUUGAAUGAGCCGAUGUCGGAUUAGCUAGUUGGCGGGGUAAAGGCCCACCAAGGCGACGAUCCGUAGCUGGUCUGAGAGGAUGAUCAGCCACACUGGAACUUAGACACGGUCCAGACUCCUACGGGAGGCAGCAGUGGGGAAUAUUGGACAAUGGGCGCAAGCCUGAUCCAGCCAUACCGCGUGGGUGAAGAAGGCCUUCGGGUUGUAAAGCCCUUUUGUUGGGAAAGAAAAGCAGCAGGUUAAUACCCCGCUGUUCUGACGGUACCCAAAGAAUAAGCACCGGCUAACUUCGUG
rnacentral:rRNA from 1 species